rnacentral:sRNA from 1 species
UAUGUUUGUUUCACUUUCUGUUUUCCCUCAAUUCACACAACACUAAAAUGUUGUGUACAAUUUGUCUUUCGAUGGCAAAAGUUUGCAAUUAUCAAUGCAGAUUUUUUUUUUUUGUUUCAUUAUUAUUAGAUUAUUUUUUUGUUUUUAUUUUCUUUUGGUUAUGAAUGAUAAACAUGUGUAUUUGGCUUCUCACAAGAACAGCGAGAGGUAAUGUUUACACAUGCAUACACUUUGAAACUCUUUCCAAAGUUAAUAUCAAAUGUCUCUCUAUUAUAAAGUGCAAUGCCCCAAAGAAAAUUUGGAAAAAAAUAAAGCCAGUGAGAAUAUUGUAAAUGUAGUAUAUUUAGAAUGUUUGAUAUUUGGUGGAAAUUGAUUUUUCAACAGGUUGGCAUGGAUUUGAAUAAGUGUAUUUCAGGAUGCACCAAUUUUUUAUAUCCUUUUCAUUUAGCCAUGUACUUGGUUUGGUAACCCGCUUUCUGUCAAAAAACGCCAAAUAGAAUACACAGCUAAAUGUAAUAUGCUUUACAGUAUACGGAAGUGUGAAAUAGAUUUAUAGUUAAUGUGUAAUUAGUAUCUCAGUUUAUAUCAAUUUAGAAGUGACCAACACAAUUUUUAUCAAACAUAGAUAUUUGUGAUAUUAUUUGUGUUAAUGUGUGAUAACCAUUGUUUUCUCCACAAUUUUUUCACCUUAAUAUUGAAUAUAUAUCUGAUACUUUUAGCUUAUGUUAGGGACCUAAUGUUUUUAGUAUUAGACAUUUUUUUAACGGCAUUGUUGAAUUGUGUGCCAUUUUUCAUGUGCACUCUCACUUCGAAAGAUUUUAACGUUUUAAAAAUAUUUCUUUUUUUCCCUUCCUGUACUAUAGUAUAUUUUUUUAAGAACUUGAGAUCUAAAACAUUUGACAAAUAUUGUUAAUCUAGAACUCAUUAAUUUGCUGUGUAUAUUGACUAAAUAUUAAUUGUCGCUAAUGAGAUGUAAAUAUAGCACAAAAUGUGUACAACAGAAAAAAAAUACAUUUUUUGAUACAAUUCCUAGAAUAAAUUGUAAAUGAGGUCAUUCUUAAAAGGUGUUUUAAUUCAACUAUAAUUCUGUCAGACUUGUGAACAAUAAUUCUUUGGGGUUUUUGUUGUUGAAAUAUUAGUACUUUAUGAGCUGUCAUAUUUUUCAGUAAGGGGUAGGGGGGUAGGGGUUAGAAGAAAUCUCAUUUUCCUCUACACCUGUUGAAUUCUAUGUACAGUUGAUUAGCGUUUGCUCUAUGUGUGUAUCAUUACAUUAACAGAAGCUGGUGAUUUUAACAAGAUGUUGAUUAGACAGACAUUUUAAAAUUUAAUUCAUUUAUCUAUGCAUUUCAUUUUCCUUUUGUGUUGCAUUGUGUACUAUGUUGAAACUGCUUUCUGUAUAUUACGUUGAUGUUUGAAAACAAUAGAUAAAUUUGCUAUACAAAAGUUUC